rnacentral:rRNA from 1 species
GAAACCAACAGGGAUUGCCCUAGUAACGGCGAGUGAAGCGGCAACAGCUCAAAUUUGAAAUCUGGCGCAAGCCCGAGUUGUAAUUUGUAGAGGAUGCUUCUGGGCAGCGGCCGUUCUAAGUUCCUUGGAACAGGACGUCAUAGAGGGUGAGAAUCCCGUAUGUGACCGGCGCGCACCCUCCACGUAGCUCCUUCGAAGAGUCGAGUUGUUUGGGAAUGCAGCUCUAAAUGGGAGGUAAAUUUCUUCUAAAGCUAAAUACCGGCCAGAGACCGAUAGCGCACAAGUAGAGUGAUCGAAAGAUGAAAAGCACUUUGGAAAGAGAGUUAAAAAGCACGUGAAAUUGUUGAAAGGGAAGCGCUUGCAACCAGACUUCGCGGCGGUGUUCCGCCGGCCUUCUGGCCGGUCCACUCGCCGCCGCGAGGCCAGCAUCGUCUGGGGCCGCCGGAUAAGACCGCGGGAAUGUGGCUCCCUCGGGAGUGUUAUAGCCCGCGGUGAUGCGGCGCGUCUCGGGCGAGGUCCGCGCUUCGGCAAGGAUGUUGGCGUAAUGGUUGCCAGCGGCCCGUCUUGAAACACGGACCAAGGAGUCUAACAUCUAUGCGAGUGUUCGGGUGUCAAACCCCUACGCGUAAUGAAAGUGAACGGAGGUGGGAGCUUCGGCGCACCAUCGACCGAUCCUGAUGUCCUCGGAUGGAUUUGAGUAAGAGCAUAGCUGUUGGGACCCGAAAGAUGGUGAACUAUGCCUGAAUAGGGUGAAGCCAGAGGAAACUCUGGUGGAGGCUCGCAGCGGUUCUGACGUGCAAAUCGAUCGUCAAAUUUGGGUAUAGGGGCGAAAGACUAAUCGAACCA